GCCCCUGUGGCUUAGUCUGGCUAUAGCACGCGGCUGUUAACCGCGGGAUCGAGCGUUCGAAUCGCUCCGGGGGCG
rnacentral:tRNA from 1 species